AUACGAAGGGUGCAAGCGUUACUCGGAAUUACUGGGCGUAAAGCGUGCGUAGGUGGUUGUUUAAGUCUGUCGUGAAAGCCCUGGGCUCAACCUGGGAAUGGCGAUGGAAACUGGGCGACUAGAGUGUGCCAGAGGGUAGUGUAAUUCCUGGUGUCGCAGUGAAAUGCGUAGAGAUCAGGAGGAACAUCCGUGGAGAAGACGUGUUCCUGUGCCAACACUGACCCUGAGGGACGAAAGCGUGGAGAACAAACAGGAUUAGAGACCCUGGUAGGCCAAGCCCUAAACGGUGUGAACUGGCUGUUGGGUGCAAUUUGGGGCGCAGUAUCGAAGCUAGAGCGUGAAGUUCGCGGCCUGGGGUGUACGGUCGCCAGACUGAACCUCAACUGCAUUGGCGGGG
rnacentral:rRNA from 1 species